UAUUAGUAAAAUUUUUAAACUCCAGAAGCGAGGGAUAAGAGAUAAUUGUGUUUUAUUUUUUCUCUGUAUUUAUUUUUAAUGUUUUUCACUAUAUUAAGGGAAAUUUAAAGUAGAAACUCCAGCAAGAACUCAAGCAUCAAACAACUCCUUUAAAAUAUUCCAUAAACACUUGAUCCCUUAACAAUGGAAAUGUAAAAGUUCAAACAAAACCCCUAAGAGCCCUAUUCAUACAGGCCCAAAUGUUCAAGGCAAGAUUGAAAGCUACAUGGCAUACCAUGCCUAAUAGAAAACAGACACAUACCCCUUCAUUAUGAUUAUCAACUCAUUAGCACCAAACGUGUGUUUCCAUCAUUAGCUGGUAAAAACUCAAAUGACACCUCCCUCUAUUAAAAUCGAGGUCUUCACAGAGUAGCCCAUGUAUGUGCCAUGCACUUUUUCCUUUUUCACACUUAUGUUUCAUGUGUAAUUCCCUCGACGUUAUACCUUUCAUUGUAAAUAGAAAGAUGAAUAGUUUCAAAAUAGGUAACUUUAUAACUUCCUCCUCAAUUGAGGGAGUGCUGUU
rnacentral:lncRNA from 1 species